UGAGUACGAGACGCUAAGGCGUUGGAGUAGUGGAUGUCAUACUUCCGAGAAAAGCUUGCACUGUCAUUAAUAAAAAAUGCCUGUACCAUAACCGACACAGGUGGGUAGGUAGAGUAUACUAAGGGGCGCGAGAUAACUCUCUCUAAGGAACUCGGCAAAAUGACUCCGUAACUUCGGGAGAAGGAGUGCCUUAUUCGUAAGGCUGCAAUAACAAGAUCCAAGCAACUGUUUAUCAAAAACACAGGUCUCCGCUAAGUCGUAAGACGAUGUAUGGGGGCUGACGCCUGCCCAGUGCCAGAAGGUUAAAGAAGUCGGUUAGCAUUAGCGAAGCUGGUAACUGAAGCCCUGGUGAACGGCGGCCGUAACAAUAACGGUCCUAAGGUAGCGAAAUUCCUUGUCGGGUAAGUUCCGACCCGCACGAAAGGCGUAAUGAUUUGGAUACUGUCUCGGAGAGGGGCUGAAAUAGACUUGUCUGUGAAGAUGCGACUACCUGCACCAGGACAGAAAGACCCUAUGAAGCUUUACUGUAACUUGAAAUUGAAAUUGGACUUUAUUCGCGCAGUAUAGGUGGGAGGCGUUGAUUAUAAUCUUGCGGGAUUAUUGGAGCCAUCAGUGAGAUACCACUCUUGUAAUGUUAGAUUUCUAACUUUGAAUCAUUAUCUGGUCAAAGAACAGUUUCAGGCGGGCAGUUUGACUGGGGCGGUCGCCUCCUAAACGGUAACGGAGGCGUACAAAGGUUUCCUCUGAACGGGUAGAAAUCGUAUCUAGAGUGUAAAGGCAUAAGGAAGCUUGACUGUGAGACCUACAAGUCGAGCAGGGACGAAAGUCGGUCUUAGUGAUCUGACGGUACUGAGUGGAAAGGCCGUCACUCAACGGAUAAAAGUUACUCUAGGAUAACAGGCUGAUCUCCCCCAAGAGUUCACAUCGACGGGGAGGUUUGGCACCUCGAUGUCGGCUCAUCGCAUCCUGGGGCGGUAGUACGUCCCAAGGGUUGGGCUGUUCGCCCAUGAAAGCGGUACGCGAGCUGGGUUCAGAACGUCGUGAGACAGUUCGGUCCAUAUCCGGUGUAGGCGUUAGAAUAUUGAGAGGAGCCUUCUUUAGUACGAGAGGACCGAGAAGGACAUACCUCUGGUGUACCAGUUAUCGUGCCAACGGUAAACGCUGGGUAGCUAUGUAUGGAGUGGAUAACCGCUGAAAGCAUCUAAGUGGGAAGCCCACCUCAAGAUAAG
rnacentral:rRNA from 1 species